rnacentral:ncRNA from 1 species
AAAUUGCCCUCACGGUUUUAAACUAGACAGAAAAGUAAGUGUUUGCGGGGAGGUAUUUGAUACUGUGUUUAGGGUACAAAAANUUUAUAAAAUUUAGAGAAUUAUAUAAUAAUUUUAUUCGCAGUAAAUAAUAUUAUAAAUGUAAGAAAUUAUGAUUUAGUAAUGUUCAAAAAUAUUAACAAAAUUUGUGCCAGCCGUUGCGGUUAUACAGAUAAUGUAAUUAAUUGGGGUUAGUUUAUAGUAAAUAUUAAUAAUAAUAAAAAUAAAAUUGAAUUUAUUAGGUGAAAUUUUAAAUUUAAAAAAUUUUAUAUUUAUAUAUUGAAUCUAUUAAAUUUUGAAUUAAACUAGGAUUAGAUACCCUAUUAUUUGAAAAGUAAAAUUAUAACUAAAUGAAUAAUAGUUAUGUUCUUUAAAGUUAAAAAUUUUGGCGGUAUUUUAGUCUAUUCAGAGGAACCUGUCCUGUAAUCGAUAUUCCACGAUUAAUUGUACUUAUUUUAAAUAGUUUGUAUACCGUCGUAAAUUGAAUAUUUUUUAAGAAGUUAAAUAUUCAAGAUUUUUAUAAAAAAGCAAUUCAGAUCAAGGUACAGUUUAUAAAUAAGAAGAGAUGGGUUACAAUAAAAUUAUUUAUAUUGAAAAUAAAAUGAAAUUUUAUUAAAAAGUGGAUUUGAAAGUAAUUAAGUUAAUUUAAAUUUAAUGAUUUUAGCUCUAAAAUAUGCACAUAUCGCCCGUCACUCUCAUAUAAAAUGAGAUAAGUCGUAACAAAGUAGAUGUACUGGAAAGUGUAUCUAGUUAGUC